UACGUAGGUGGCAAGCGUUGUCCGGAUUUACUGGGCGUAAAGAGCGCGCAGGCGGCUGAUUAAGUCGAAUGUGAAAGCCCCCGGCUCAACUGGGGAGGGUCACGCGAUACUGAUCGACUCGAAGGCAGGAGAGGGAAGUGGAAUUCCCGGUGUAGUGGUGAAAUGCGUAGAUAUCUGGAGGAACACCGGUGGCGAAGGCGGCAUCCUGGACCAAUAUUGACGCUGAGGAGCGAAAGCUAGGGGAGCAAACGGG
rnacentral:rRNA from 1 species